GAUGCAGAAAAGGGAUCUUGGUAGCCAAGGGGAUCUCACUUCGUCCAUAGAAUCUAUCAAUCCCAACGGCCAGUUCGCUCUCUUCGACAUUGUAGAGUUUGUGUAUAAGGUUUGUGUAUUCUUGUCCGAUGUGACCUUUUGGAGUUACUUACUUGUGCCUAUUAGCAUGAAACAAAGAAUUAGGUUGGAAAAUCAUUAGAAGAAUUGUCCAACCGCAUCCCUUCUCUUUUGGGUGAAAAUGACUCAGCUACUAGUCUCUUGUAUACUUGCUUUCUCCUUCAUCUCCACUAGUCCUACCUUUACAGUUGCACCUAGGCCUCUUGAAGGUAGUAUGUUGUCCCUCUCUCUCUAAUCUAACCUUCCCCACCUUAAUUUCUAUGGGGAAUAUCUCAACCUGAUCUGUUUUUACUCAGCUAUAUAUCUGUUUACUACUUUGAUCUAUAUUUACUUGGCAUUUCUUCAGAGAUUGUAUUGAUCUUAGCUGUAUAGAAUGAAUGAGUCAUUCUUUGCUCCAAUUUGUGCUCACUAUCUUUGUCUCUGACCCCAUUUGGUCCUAAUGUACUUCAGGCUGUAUUCUAAUCUGUUUAUUUCAUUCUAUUAUGUAGAAGUGCUAAAGACAUCUCUCUAGGUAGAUUGACUCAAGGGCAACAAACUCAGAUCGGUUGAAAUGAACAAAGACUAAAAAAUGAAAAAAUUUUCCCCAGAACCUAUAUUUCAACCUUUACUGGUAGUUGGGAAAUGGGGAAGAUCUGUUGCAUCUUAAGUCCCAAUAUAUGGAGGCAGGAUGGUAGUGACCCUUCUGGUUAACACAUUAUUUUUAAAUUUCUUGCACAUUCUGGAAGAGCUUGAAGAUUUGGAAGAGACAGAGGAUUCGAGAAAGUUUAGGUGCACGUGUUGGGAAGCUAUCCCAUGGUAAGAAGAAAUAAGCAAUUGAAGAAGAAGAACUUUUGAGUUUCGGUGUAUGCAGUGAAAAAUUCUAGGCAAACUUUGAAGGCAAGUGAUUGGCAUCUUGAACGAGCUGGGAGCAUUUAAUAUAUUCUACAGCCAAGCCAUAGGAGAAGAAAAAACAAAUGUCCAAGCUCUAGAGUACAUUGCAAAUUAUUUGCUAGUCAGCUUCAAUAGUUAGGUCUCAUGGAACAAUUAAUGACUAGAGUAGUUGUAUUUUGAUGGUUGUAGUGACAUUGGAGUUUCCAUAAUGAAUGAGAACAUCAAUGAAUGGCAAGAGCAAACUUACAUG